CCCCAUUAAAACCCCAUUAACCCCAUUAAGACCCCAUAAACCCCAUUAAGACCCUAUAAGACCCCAUUAACCCCCAUUAAACCCCAUUGGCCCCCAUUGAAACCCAUUCAACACCGCCCCCUCAUUAACCAUUCAUAUAUGCUAAUGAGGGGGGCUCUCGACCAAUGGGAAGCCGACGCCGGGAGCCGCGCUCGCUAAUUAAGGCGGCCUUCGUUACCGCUGCGCCGAGCUCAUUAAGCAGCCUCAUUAAGCCCCGUUAAUUAGUGCUCAGGAACGAGCUUUCGUGAUCCUCCUAUGCAAAUGUAUGCAAAUGAGCCCAGCUUUCGACCAAUGAGAAGCCUCCAUGGUAACGACCCGCAGCUCGUCAAAGCCGCUCAUUAACGAAGCCUUCAUCCGCUAAUUAACAAGAUCUUCAUUAGCGCUGAUCGGAUCCUCAUUAGCAGCUCUAAUUAACGACGCUUCUUGAUCCUCGUAUGCUAAUUUAUGCAAAUGAGCCCAGCUUUCAACCAAUCCGUGGCCUCCAUGGUAACGAUGGAUUGCUCAUUAAGGUUCCUAAUUAACAAACUCUUCGUUAGCGCUGAUCCAAUCUUCAUUAGCAGCCUUAAUUAAUGCCCCUUCUUGAUCCUCGUAUGCUAAUUUAUGCAAAUGAGCUCAGCUUUCAACCAAUCCGAGACCUCCAUGGUAACGAUCCACAGCUCAUUAAGGUCGCUAAUUAACGAAGUCUUCGUUAGUGCUGAUCCCGUCCUCAUUAGCAAUGCUAAUUAGCGAGCAUUCUCGAUCCUCGUAUGCACUCUCGAUCCUCAUAUGCUAAUGUAUGCAAAUGAGCCCAGCCUUCAACCAACACGAAGCCUCAAUAGUAACGAUCCGCAGCUCGUGAAGGCCGCUAAUUAACGACUUCUUCCCUAUGGCCGAUCCCAUCCUCAUUAGCAUAUACUAAUUAACACCCCAAUCCCACCCUCGUAUGCUAAUAUAUGCAAAUGAGUCCCACCCCCAACCACCUUCCCCCUCAUGAACCGCCCCCACAAAGUGCUCAUUCCAUGCCUCGUUAAGCCCCCAUGCUAAUUAACCGUAACGACCCUCCCCUCAUUAACCCCCCCACUAAUUAAUGAACCCCUUCAUCAACCCCCACCCUAAUUAACACCCCCUAAUUAGCCCCCCCUAAUUACUAAUUAACCUAAUUAACCCCCUCCACGCGCUCCCACCCCUCCCCACCCCUCAAUCCCUCUCCCCGCCAUUCAUUAACCCCGUGACCCCCUAAUUAACGAAGCAACCGACCAGUUAAUUAACGAAAACCCUUCAUCAACCCCCACCCUAAUUAACACCCCCUAAUUAACACACCCUAAUCACUAAUUAACCUAAUUAACCCCCCUCCACGCG
ensembl:lncRNA